CCGGGGAAGGUAGUUUGGAACCCGAGGGGCCGGCUUGCUGGGAGUAGGAAGACAGCAAUCAUCAGGGGUUCUCACCAAUGAAGAAGAUAGGACACAUAGAAACAGAUUGAGAUAGGAGGAAACUGAGGCCCAGACAAGCAUAGUGACUGGCCCAAGUCGCUAUUCAGCUAGUACCAUUCAGCUAGUAACAGAGACGACACUGGAAUCGGAGUCCUCUAUUCCCAAGUCAAGUACUCUUUCCAACUUCACCAAGCUCUCGAAUGUUUCCCAUAUAUGUAGCCUGGAG